rnacentral:rRNA from 1 species
UUGAGCCUACGGGGCGCAGCAGUGGGGGAUAUUGCACAAUGGGGGGAACCCUGAUGCAGCGACGCCGCGUGUGGGAAGACGGUCCUCUGGAUUGUAAACCACUGUCCCCAGGGACGAAAAUGACGGUACCUGGGGAGGAAGCUCCGGCUAACUACGUGCCAGCAGCCGCGGUAAUACGUAGGGAGCGAGCGUUGUACGGAAUUACUGGGUGUAAAGGGAGCGUAGGCGGGGGUGCCAGUUGGGGGUCAAAACUACCGGCUCAACUGGUAGUCG